rnacentral:rRNA from 1 species
GUGCCAGCCGCCGCGGUAAUACGGAGGGGGCUAGCGUUAUUCGGAAUUACUGGGCGUAAAGCGCACGUAGGCGGAGCGGAAAGUUGGGGGUGAAAGCCCAGGGCUCAACCCUGGAACUGCCUUCAAAACUCCCGCUCUUGAGGUCGCGAGAGGUGAGUGGAAUUCCGAGUGUAGAGGUGAAAUUCGUAGAUAUUCGGAGGAACACCAGUGGCGAAGGCGGCUCACUGGCGCGAUACUGACGCUGAGGUGCGAAAGCGUGGGGAGCAAACAGGAUUAGAAACCCUUGUAGUCC